AUUGAACGCUGGCGGAAUGCUUUACACAUGCAAGUCGAGCGGCAGCGCGGGGGCAACCCUGGCGGCGAGCGGCGAACGGGUGAGUAACAGUAUCGGAACGUACCCCGUCGUGGGGGAUAACACAGCGAAAGCUGUGCUAAUACCGCAUACGACCUGAGGGUGAAAGCGGGGGAUCGCAAGACCUCGCGCGAUGGGAGCGGCCGAUAUCGGAUUAGCUUGUUGGUGAGGUAAAGGCUCACCAAGGCGACGAUCCGUAGCUGGUCUGAGAGGACGACCAGCCACACUGGAACUGAGACACGGUCCAGACUCCUACGGGAGGCAGCAGUGGGGAAUUUUGGACAAUGGGGGCAACCCUGAUCCAGCCAUUCCGCGUGAGUGAAGAA
rnacentral:rRNA from 1 species